rnacentral:rRNA from 1 species
CCUACGGGUGGCAGCAGUGGGGAAUAUUGCACAAUGGGCGCAAGCCUGAUGCAGCCAUGCCGCGUGUAUGAAGAAGGCCUUCGGGUUGUAAAGUACUUCCAGCGGAGAGGAAGGCGAUAAGGUUAAUAACCUUGUCGAUUGACGUUACCCGCAGAAGAAGCACCGGCUAACUCCGUGCCAGCAGCCGCGGUAAUACGGAGGGUGCAAGCGUUAAUCGGAAUUACUGGGCGUAAAGCGCACGCAGGCGGUCUGUCAAGUCGGAUGUGAAAUCCCCGGGCUCAACCUGGGAUCUGCAUUCGAAACUGGCAGGCUAGAGUCUUGUAGGGGGGGGUAGAAUUCCAGGUGUAGCGGUGAAAUGCGUAGAGAUCUGGAGGAAUACCGGUGGCGAAGGCGGCCCCCUGGACGAAGACUGACGCUCAGGUGCGAAAGCGUGGGGAGCAAACAGGAUUAGAUACCCGAGUAGUC